GUCGGCCGCUUAAGGAUGAAGCUGAAUAUCUCUUUCCCGGCCACUGGCUGCCAAAAACUCAUUGAAGUGGACAAUGAGCGAAAACUUCGUACAUUUUAUGAGAAAUACAUGGCCACAGAAGUUUCUGCUGACGCUCUGGGUGAAGAAUGGAAGGGUAAUGUGGUCCGAAUAAGUGGUGGGAACGACAAACAAGGAUUUCCCAUGAAGCAGGGUGUCUUGACCCAUGGCCGAGUCCGCCUGCUACUGAGUAAGGGGCAUUCCUGUUACAGACCAAGGAGGACUGGAGAAAGAAAGCGCAAAUCAGUUCGGGGUUGCAUUGUGGAUGCCAAUCUAAAUGUUCUCAAUUUGGUCAUCGCAAAAAAAAGGGGAGAAGGAUAUUCCUGGACUCACCGAUACUACUGUGCCUCGCUGCCUGGGGCCUAAAAGAGCUAGCAGAAUCCGAAAAAUUUCAGUCUCUCUAAGGAAGAUGAUGUCCGUCAGUAUGUAGUGAGAAAGCCCCUAAACAAAGAAGGUAAGAAACCUAGGACCAAAGCACCCAAGAUUCAGCGUCUUGUUACUCCGCGUGUUCUGCAACACAAACGUCGCCAUAUUGCUCUGAAGAAACAACGUACUAAGAAAAAUAAGGAAGAGGCUGCAGAAUAUGCUAAACUUUUGGCCAAGAGAAUGAAGGAGGCCAAAGAAAAAUGUCAGGACCAGAUUGCAAAGAGACGGAGGCUAUCCUCUCUGAGAGCAUCUACCUCUAAGUCUGAGUCCAGUCAAAAAUGAGAUGUUUUGAGAGUAACCAAUAAAUAACAUCAAAUCUUCCAAAAAAAAAAAA